rnacentral:sRNA from 1 species
AAUUACCCAUAUGAAAGGUUGACUUGUCAAAUUUGUUGAUUUUUAUAAUAGGUGUUUGAUCAGUAUGUAAAGACCAGGGCAGAGGAAGAACGCAGGGAAAAGAAAAAUAAAAUAAUGCAAGCCAAGGAAGAUUUCAAAAAAAUGAUGGAAGAAGCAAAAUUUAAUCCAAGAGCAACUUUUAGUGAAUUUGCAGCCAAGCAUGCUAAAGAUUCAAGAUUCAAAGCAAUUGAAAAGAUGAAAGACCGAGAAGCCUUGUUUAAUGAGUUUGUGGCCGCUGCUAGGAAGAAAGAGAAAGAAGAUUCGAAGACCAGAGGUGAGAAGAUUAAAUCGGAUUUCUUUGAACUAUUAUCUAAUCAUCACUUGGACAGUCAGUCUCGAUGGAGCAAAGUAAAAGACAAAGUAGAAAGUGAUCCACGUUACAAAGCAGUAGAUAGUUCAUCAAUGAGAGAAGACCUUUUCAAACAGUACAUUGAAAAAAUAGCCAAG